UGAAAUUAUUGGAUUAUGAGAGUCUUAACCUAAUCAGUGAGUGGCUCCCCUGAUAGGGAUUAACUGAGUGGUAACUGAAGAUGGGUAGGAUGUACUGGAGCAGGUGAGUCCCCAGGAGUGUGCCUUUGGGAUUUGUAUUUUGUUCUUGUUGAGCAGAGCUCUCUUUCUGCUUCAUGGUACCAUGUCCUGAGCCACUUUUCCUCCACCAUACUCUUCUGCCAUGAUGUUUUGCCUUACUUCAGGCUCCAAGAAAUGGAGCUGGCUGUCUAUAGACUUAGACCUCUGAAAAUGUGAGCCCUAAAAUAAACUUUUCCUCCUCUCUCUGUCCUUGCCAGGUCUUUUGGUCAUGACAAUGAAAAAAAGUAUAACUAAAACAAUGAUUAUGUAUCUUAAUCAGCAUAAACUAUCCUGGGUCAUAUUCACAAUGGUGACAGUGAUAGAAAAGGAAGAGGUACAUUGCAUAUGUUUUCAUCAAGGCCACAAUGAGGGGCUGUUACCCGAGACCAUUUCUCUCAUGCUCAACAGCACUUUGGACUCUAUAAUGAAGAAGAAGAAAAAGUUUAAAUAGAAAAUUUGGAUUAUAAUAUCCCUAUGAUGUCUCUAUUAUUACAAAGAAAAAAUAUUAAAUGUAACUUUAUACAGAAAAGUCAUGCUUAACACAACGCAUGUCCAUGGCUGCUGGCUGCUAUGGGUGGUGGUUACAUCAGUUCCUGUACCGCUAGUACCACAGAGCAAAGUGCCACCGCAGCUAUGGCUACUGGGCUGCUGCUCGUACUUUUGCUGCUCUCCUGGCCUUUUGUACCUUUCAUUGUUUGAAUCUCAAAGCAAUCAAAACGAUUUUCGAGAAGAUAAUAGGGAACAAAAUCUUUUCAUGGAAUUUACUGAAAUGCCUCUAACUUUCUGCAAUUUUUUUAUUACAUUACAUGUAUUUUAUUUUUAAAGCUUUCAGAGUGUAAUCUCUUCUUUUGAAUGAAGAUGCCCCUCUUGAAAAAUAAUUAAGUUUUACCUGAUAUAAGAUCAAACUUUGGAAAAGUUGAUGAUUUGCCUGUACCCGACAAUGAAAAUAUUUUUUUAAUUUUUGUUUCAAAACUGAUUUUAAUUUUUUUGUUUGUUUGUACCAGGGGGAUUCAACCACUGAGCUAUAUCCCCAGCCCUGUUUUGCAUUUUAUUUAGAGACAGGGUCUCACUGAAUUGCUUAGCGCCUUGCCAUUGCUGAGGCUGGCUUGAACUCACCAUUCUUCUGCCUCAGCCUCCCAAGCCACUGGGAUUACAGGCAUGCAC
rnacentral:lncRNA from 1 species